rnacentral:rRNA from 1 species
AGUGAACGCUGGCGGUAGGCCUAACACAUGCAAGUCGAACGGCAGCACAGUAAGAGCUUGCUCUUACGGGUGGCGAGUGGCGGACGGGUGAGGAAUACAUCGGAAUCUACUUUUUCGUGGGGGAUAACGUAGGGAAACUUACGCUAAUACCGCAUACGACCUACGGGUGAAAGCAGGGGAUCUUCGGACCUGGCGCGAUUGGAUGAGCCGAUGUCGGAUUAGCUAGUUGGGGGGGUAAAGGCCCACCCAGGCGCCGAUCCGUAGCUGGUCUGAGAGGAUGAUCAGCCACACUGGAACUGAGACACGGUCCAGACUCCUACGGGAGGCAGCAGUGGGGAAUAUUAGACAAUGGGCGCAAGCCUGAUCCAGCCAUACCGCGUGGGUGAAGAAGGCCUUCGGGUUGUAAAGCCCUUUUGUUGGGAAAGAAAAGCAGCAGGUUAAUACCCCGCUGUUCUGACGGUACCCAAAGAAUAAGCACCGGCUAACUUCGUG